UAAGGAGUCGGACCUGCCCAGUGAAGUUUUUUAACGGCCGCGGUACUCUGACCGUGCAAAGGUAGCAUAAUCAUUUGCCUUAUAAUUGGAGGCUAGUAUGAAUGGUUUGACAAGAAUAUAGCUGUCUCUUUUUGAUUUAUUAGAACUUUAUUUUAAGGUGAAGAAGCCUUAAUUUAAAUUAAAAGACAAGAAGACCCUGUCGAGCUUUAAAAAAGUCAAUAGAAAUUACCUUAAUUAAACUUAAAAAAUCAUCUAUUAAAAAUUUUGGUUGGGGCGACUAAGGAACAAAAGAGCUUCCUUUUACAUAAUAAAAUCUAUAAAUUUUGAUCCAAAAAUUUUUGAUUAAAAGAAUUAGUUACCGCAGGGAUAACAGCAUUAUCUUUUUUGAGAGCUCUUAUCGAAAAAAAGGUUUGUGACCUCGAUGUUGGACCAGAAUAUCCUAAAGAUGCAGAAGUCUUUAAGGGUUGGUCUGUUCGACCAUU
rnacentral:rRNA from 1 species